rnacentral:rRNA from 1 species
CCUACGGGAGGCAGCAGUGAGGAAUAUUGGUCAAUGGACGAGAGUCUGAACCAGCCAAGUAGCGUGCAGGAUGACUGCCCUAUGGGUUGUAAACUUCUUUUAUAUGGGAAUAAAAUGUUCCACGUGUGGGAUUUUGUAUGUACCAUAUGAAUAAGGAUCGGCUAACUCCGUGCCAGCAGCCGCGGUAAUACGGAGGAUCCGAGCGUUAUCCGGAUUUAUUGGGUUUAAAGGGAGCGUAGGUGGAUUAUUAAGUCAGUUGUGAAAGUUUGCGGCUCAACCGUAAAAUUGCAGUUGAAACUGGCAGGCUUGAGUACAGGAGAGGUGGGCGGAAUUCGUGGUGUAGCGGUGAAAUGCUUAGAUAUCACGAAGAACUCCGAUUGCGAAGGCAGUUCACGGGACUGCAACUGACACUGAGGCUCGAAGGUGUGGGUAUCGAACAGGAUUAGAUACCCCGGUAGUC